GCCGAUGUAGCUCAGUCGGUAGAGCGCGAGGCUCUUAACCUCGUGGCCGCGGGUUCGAGCCCCGUCGUCGGCU
rfam:Eimeria mitis, Houghton, WGS project CBTT01000000 data, contig: Emh_contig111_1